rnacentral:tRNA from 1 species
GUGGAGAUAGCUCAGUGGUUAAGAGCACUGGCUGCUCUUACAGAGAACCUGGGUUCCAUUCCCAGUAUACCCA